rnacentral:lncRNA from 1 species
CCUGUUAGCAAAUAAAUUAGAUAAAGUCGACCUUCUUAUAAAUAAAUGCCUAGCCCUAGGUCUAUAAUUUUCUGCGCAAUACACACCACCUUUCAAUUAUCAAAAGAUUUGUUCUAUCUGUGCUAGCCCAGUCCAUCAUGUUAGUGAAUGUCCUAUAGCUGCACAGUUUUCAUCUUUCAUCCAAGAACAAGUUCAAGCUGCUCAAGAUUACUCCAAUCCUGUCAAUGACCCAUUCUUAAACACAUAUAACCA